CCGAGUUAGGGUCUGCCCCCGCGCGGCCCGACCUCCCAACCCUGUGUCUACAUCACCUUGUCGUUGCUUCGGCGGACCGGUUCGACCAACUGGUCUCGACCGCCGGGGGCCCUGGCCGCCCCUGGAGAGCGUCCGCCGAUGGCCUCACACAAAACUCUUGUACCGAAACGUGUCGUCUGAAUGCGAAAUUGAUAAUUAAUCAAAACACA
rnacentral:misc_RNA from 1 species